rnacentral:lncRNA from 1 species
UUGAAAGGAAGAAUUCUCAAGAGUAUCAUCACAUGGUCUAAAAUGGGGCAACAAACCACCCAGUCGAAAAAGGUGUAUUAAUAUAAAUCCUCCGACGUUGACUCAAAAGGCAGUUGUCGAUUUACGUCACGGAAUAAGAAUUGGCGUGUUAUAUAUUGCGCAAAUGUAUAGAAAGUUAAUUACCAUUUGCUUAAUUAAGGCUAACAUUAUAAAAUGUACCCCCUAAUGCAGCAUUACCGGAAUACACUGUUCUUACAGAAUGCGGAGAGGCUGAAGCUAGGCAGGAAAUUGUUACGCAAAAGGACGUUUCACUUUCAACACGGCAUGAAUUGUUUACUGUGGUUACUAGUCUCAGUUGUUAUGACACAUGCCAAUCAGCAUUGUAAAGAGACCUUGUCAGCAAGAGGAAGUUACUUGAAGGGUCACGUGAUAUCAAGCGGAAAUGCAGUCAAUAUUGGCGAGUGUUUGGGCAAAUGUGCAAGAGAACUUCGGUGUAAGAGCAUCAACUUCCGGUUAGAAGGUUUGCUCUGUGAGUUGAAUGACGCCGAUUAAUCAACGCACCCGUGGGAUUAUGGACCAAGGCAAGGACAUGUAUACAGCGACUACCCUUACCAGACCUCCGAGUAUCAGUCAUGCGCAGAAAUAAAGUACGCCCAUAAAGAAGCAAAAAGCGGUCUUUACUGGAUCCCAGUGAAAAACAAAAUGGAGCAGGUCUAUUGUGACAUGGCAAUGUUGGACAACUAUGGAGUUGGAGUACAGUACCGCUCAUGCGCAGAAAUAAAUAACGCA